rnacentral:rRNA from 1 species
GUAGGUGGCAAGCGUUGUCCGGGAAUUAUUGGGGCGUAAAGCGCGCGCAGGCGGUUCUUUAAGUCUGAUGUGAAAGCCCACGGGCUCAACGUGGAGGGUCAUUGGAAACUGGAGAACUUGAGUACAGAAGAGGAAAGCGGAAUUCCACGUGUAGCGGUGAAAUGCGUAGAGAUGUGGAGGAACACCAGUGGCGAAGGCGGCUUUCUGGUCUGUAACUGACGCUGAGGCGCGAAAGCGUGGGGAGCAAACAGGAUUAGAUACCCUGGUAGUCCACGCCGUAAACGAUGAGUGCUAAGUGUUAGGGGGUUUCCGCCCCUUAGUGCUGCAGCUAACGCAUUAAGCACUCCGCCUGGGGAGUACGGCCGCAAAGGCUGA